rnacentral:rRNA from 1 species
AGUGAACGCUGGCGGUAGGCCUAACACAUGCAAGUCGAACGGCAGCACAGUAAGAGCUUGCUCUUACGGGUGGCGAGUGGCGGACGGGUGAGGAAUACAUCGGAAUCUACUUUUUCGUGGGGGAUAACGUAGGGAAACUUACGCUAAUACCGCAUACGACCUACGGGUGAAAGCAGGGGAUCUUCGGACCUUGCGCGAUUGAAUGAGCCGAUGUCGGAUUAGCUAGUUGGCGGGGUAAAGGCCCACCAAGGCGACGAUCCGUAGCUGGUCUGAGAGGAUGAUCGGCCACACGGGAGCUGAGACACGGUCCAGACUCCUACGGGAGGCAGCAGUGGGGAAUAUUGGACAAUGGGCGGAAGCCUGAUCCAGCCAUACCGCGUGGGUGAAGAAGGCCUUCGGGUUGUAAAGCCCUUUUGUUGGGAAAGAAAAGCAGCAGGUUAAUACCCCGCUGUUCUGACGGUACCCAAAGAAUAAGCACCGGCUAACUUCGUG